ACCGGCCGGGACCUCCAUUGGGUGAGGCACGCUGAGGGAUCCAUUCUUGGAACCAAUGAAAGGCGCGAACGUGAGGCGACGGGGCGGGGUCGCCAAGCGGACCCUCUUUGGAGGUCAGAGCUCCGCGGGGCGCGGCUAGUGUUUCAGCGAACUGCGGGGGGGGGCGUCUUCCAAGUGGUGCCAGCUUGAACUCGGGUGCACUGUGGAUGUCCGGGAAGAACCCCCACCGCGGACCUCAAAAUCUGCGCUGGCCGAGGUGGUUGUAGGACAGACAGCUGUGUUGGCCACAAAGGAGACCAAAUUAAAGAGGAUGGAUGGAUUCUUAUAAAUCCAGUCCCACUACUGAAAAGCAACUCCAAGCCCUAUGAUGAUAGGUCUCCAGAAAAGCAGAAGGUACUUCAGAGAGGGAACUAUUUCCGCUGGAAAAAGCGAGAGAAUUCUUACCAAUUCAGGACCAUGCCCGGGGAAUCUGAUGCGGGAUAAACCCCAAGAGGCCAGAACAACUGCUCACCACACUUUCUUCCCACCUCAUCCCCCACCACACAGAGGAAAUACUCUUAUUCGGGAGGUGCUCUGGAGUGCAGUGGUAUCAUCACAGCUCACUAGAACCUCAAACUGCCAGGCUCGAGUGAUUCUCCUGCCUCAGCCUCUCAAAUAACUGGGACUACAGGAUUGCGCCACCACGCCUAGCUAAUUUUUUCUU